rnacentral:ncRNA from 1 species
CAAAGAUUUGGUCCUGACCUUACUGUUACUUUUUGCUAAACUUACACAUGCAAGCAUCAACACACCAGUGAAAAUGCCCUCAUAGUCCAAUGGACCAAAGGAGCCGGUAUCAGGCACACCAUGAUAGCCCAAAACACCUAGCUUUGCCACGCCCCCAAGGGUACUUCAGCAGUGAUAAAAAUUAAGCAAUAAGCGCAAGCUUGACUUAGUCAUGGCAAACAGAGUUGGUCAAUCUUGUGCCAGCCACCGCGGUUAUACAAGAAACUCAAAUCAACAGAAAAUCGGCGUAAAAUGUGACUAAAACCACAGUCUAAAAAAUUAAGAUGGCCCUACACUCAGCUGUCAUACACAAAAGUAUACAUCACCCCGCUAUGAAAAUAACCUUAAUACAACAGAACCGUUUGAAGCCACGAUUGCUAAGACACAAACUGGGAUUAGAUACCCCACUAUGCUUAGCCCUAAACUUAGAUAUUUAACACACAAAAAUAUCCGCCAGAGGACUACGAGCAAAACGCUUAAAACUCUAAGGACUUGGCGGUGCCUCAAACCCCCCUAGAGGAGCCUGUUCUAUAAUCGAUAAUCCACGAUACACCUCACUACCUCUUGCUAAUCCCGCCUAUAUACCACCGUCACCAGCUCACCCCAUGAGGGACACAAAAGUGAGCAAAAUAACUAAAAACAGUUAAUAAGUCAGGUCAAGGUGUAGCUAACUGAGAUAGAAGAAAUGGGCUACAUUUUCUACACUAGAAAUAAACUCACGAAAAGGAACUAUGAAACUAGUCCUAGAAGUAGGAUUUAGCAGUAAGUCGGGAUCAGAGUGCCCAACUUAAGUCGGUCCUGAGGCGCGCACACACCGCCCGUCACCCUCCUCAAAUACCAAUAACUAUUAAAUAAACUACAACAAACAAAUAGAUGAGGUAAGUCGUAACAAGGUAAGUAUACCGGAAGGUGUACUUGGAAUAUC